CAUAAACCACAAGUGGGCUGAAAGUCAAGACUAUAUAUUUAACCUUCAUUAAUUCAUGUUCUGUUUCCCAAAUAAGGUAAAGUCAUUGCCAGUUGGUCACUGGGUAUGUUUUCUGGCCUAGUAACAAGGUUGUUUAUGAUAAUGUCAAUUCUGGUUGGUCAGCCACACCCUGGUCAGACCAGGGGUGCAUAGUAACAAUAAACCCAUUGGUCAAGACUUAGGCUGGUAUGCAAAUUAGCCUAAGCAUCUCAGGAGGGUGAUAAGCCCUUUGCAUCUUCCACCUCAGAAGGAACAAAAGUUUCAUUGCAACAAGUUGUGCUGUUAUACAUUCGAUCAAAAUUUACUGAUAUUGUGAAACCAGGAGGUCAAACAAUCGCGAACCACCAAUUGCUCGCUCACUCACGUUUGUCAAUUACUUCAAGUUAUUUAUCGUUCUGUUCUACUUCGCCAUUUCUUAUGUUUCAUCGAUCAUUUUAUUUUCGCGUUGUGUGAACACGCCGUUAUUUCGUCCGCCAAGUUUACUGUUAUUAUUAAAUGGAUGUCUUAACCUA